GUAGGGUGCAAGCGUUAUCCGGAAUCAUUGGGCGUAAAGAGCUCGUAGGCGGUUCAGCAAGUCGGCUGUGAAAUCCCGAGGCUUAACCUCGGAACUGCAGUCGAUACUGCUGUGACUAGAGUCCGGUAGAGGAGAAUGGAAUUCCCGGUGUAGCGGUGAAAUGCGCAGAUAUCGGGAGGAACACCAGUAGCGAAGGCGGUUCUCUGGGCCGGUACUGACGCUGAGGAGCGAAAGCGUGGGUAGCAAACAGGAUUAGAUACCCUGGUAGUCCACGCCGUAAACGUUGGACACUAGGUGUGGCGUUCCGACCAACGGGUGCCGUGCCGAAGCUAACGCAUUAAGUGUCCCGCCUGGGGAGUACGGCCGCAAGGCUA
rnacentral:rRNA from 1 species